rnacentral:rRNA from 1 species
UACGUAGGGGGCAAGCGUUGUCCGGAAUCAUUGGGCGUAAAGAGCGCGUAGGCGGCCCUGUAAGUCCGCUGUGAAAAGUCAAGGGCUCAACCCUUGAAUGCCGGUGGAUACUGCAGGGCUAGAGUCCGGAAGAGGCGAGUGGAAUUCCUGGUGUAGCGGUGAAAUGCGCAGAUAUCGGGAAGAACACCCGUGGCGAAGGCGGUUCUACUGGGACGGUACUGACGCUGAGACGCGAAAGCGUGGGGAGCGAACAGG